rnacentral:ncRNA from 1 species
AAAAGUUGCCUUCUCUCCGUAGACGCUUGUCAGAACGGGAAGAUAGUGACGAAAAAUAACAAUACGGGACUCUUUUGAGACCCCGUAAUUGGAAUGAGUACACUCUACAUAAUCCUUUAACGAGGAUCAAUUGCAGGACAAGUCUGGUGCCAGCAGCCGCGGUAAUUCCAGCUCCAACAGCGUAUAUUAAAGUUGUUGCGGUUAAAAAGCUUAUAGCUGGAUCUUAGUUCCAGACAGGUGGUCCGCCUACUGGUGGUUACUGCCUGUUCUGAACAGCCAGCCAGUUUCCUUUGAUGAUUUUCACCGGUUGUCUUGGUGACCGGCAAGUUUACUUGCCGGUCACCAAUUUGUUUUAUUAUUUACUUGAAAAAAUUAGAGUGCUUAAAGCAGGCGUGACGCCUGAAUAAUGGUGCCGUGUAAGAACCGAAAGAACCAAAGUUACCAUAAUUUCGGAAUUGGUCCAGACAGUUCUACAUUCAUAAAAGACGUCCAUAGCUGUGUACUGCAUUAAGGAUCCUGGAUUCUUU